UCUCUCUGGUCCAGAGGAAUAAUUUCCUGGUUUUGUAAACUAAACCGGAUCAUGUCACUUCCAUGAAUCAGGGAAUACUUAAUGAAGGAGUAAGGAUUUACAGAGGACUGGGGAUAAGAGAUGGAGGGAAGCUGAACAGAAGGCAAAUGAAACUGGUUGAGCCUCUUCAGAACACACAACAAUUCCUGGUGGUGAGUCAGUGUGGAUGGGGGAAUGGGACACCUUACAUGGGGAUCAAUGAAGAAUCACUGGGGUCAAAAAGAGCACAUGUCAAGAAGAUGUCAAACUGAUGACAAGCAAAUAUUGCCCCAGUAUUACAAUUCCUGUUGCCCCAUCUCAAAAUUACCCUGUCAGUUUGAUGGGAUGAAACUCUCAGACCCCGUUUCAUACCACAGACACUGAAUCCCUAUUCCACAGCUUAGGAAGUCCGAAGAAGUAGACGGUAUGUGUGUCUUCCAAAGCUGUCUACCAGAGAUGAUCAAGGUGUUGGAGAACUUUUGUCUCUCUUAAUUGUUCUGGUAACUGCUGUGUACAACGAGGCUAAACACUCACUGAUAAGAAUUCUCUCCCUGCUGCCCCAAUGCAACUUCUAGAUUGUACACUAGUACAAGAGUCCUAACGCAGUAACUUGCCUACACGCAGAAACUGGCUGACCUGGGCUUUGGGUGUAGGAACCCUUCCUAAAAACAUGAGUAUCAUCCAGGAGUCUAAACAAUUUGAUGGGUAGACCUUAUAUUGAAUUACAAAGGUUUAGGAGUAGGAAUUAG
rnacentral:lncRNA from 10 species